rnacentral:lncRNA from 1 species
GCAAUGCAAUUCUAGAGAGACAAAGACCUAGCUACAAUGGGUUGAGAUGAAAGAAACUGCAGCUGGAGGUGUUUUUGUCACAGCUGCCGAUCUAAUUCCGGCCAAGUUUCAAUUUUUCCGGUCAGUAAAGUCUAUUUGUUGAACUAUCAGUUACUGUUACACGCAUUCAGUCUUGAAUUUCGUUUUUGUAAUUGCAAAAAGACGUUAGAUACACAACUGCAUAUUUAUAUAUGCGUAUGAUCAUGUUUUCAUAUUAGUUUUCCUAUUUGGUUGGCUGAUUCGUGACUUCCUUUCUGGGUUUUGUACAAUUCUGUGUAGAAUUCUUACCAGUUAACCAUUACUCAAUUUUCUUUAGUUAUAAGUUAAUUGUUGGAGGAUUAUUCAUCUGGGUAUGUAUUCUUGGAUGAUCUGUGUUGUUUAUUCAGUGAAACAUUUGCAAUUAUCUGAAACAAAUGAAUUUAUGAACUUUAAGGAAUUUUUACAACGACGGACGACCCAUCCAAAAAAAAAAAAGAAGAAAUUUUGUUUGAGAUCUGAUCAUCUUCCCUUCUUUCUUUUUUUUUGCUAUUUUUUCUUUGAUCGGGUAAUUUUAUACUUUACUAAAGGCAGGCAGUUGUUCGUACAUUGAUUUUGGCUCUGUUAAUCAGGUAAUAUGCAUGCCAGUUUAGUUUUUUACAGUUUCCCCCUUCAUCAGUAGGAUAUGAUCAUCUACCCUCAUAUUAUCUUUUAUACCCGCAAUUGAGUUUUGUUUCUGUUUGUGAAUUUUUUGUUCAG